UCUCAUUUUUACCCAUUUGAGAAACGUC
rnacentral:piRNA from 1 species